UACGUAGGGCGCAAGCGUUAUCCGGAAUUAUUGGGCGUAAAGAGCUCGUAGGCGGUUUGUUGCGUCUGCCGUGAAAGUCCGGGGCUUAACUCCGGAUCUGCGGUGGGUACGGGCAGACUAGAGUGCAGUAGGGGAGACUGGAAUUCCUGGUGUAGCGGUGAAAUGCGCAGAUAUCAGGAGGAACACCGAUGGCGAAGGCAGGUCUCUGGGCUGUAACUGACGCUGAGGAGCGAAAGCAUGGGGAGCGAACAGG
rnacentral:rRNA from 1 species